GCUUGAAGAGAUUUCCGGGAGCGGUGACUCUCAUCUGCUCGAAGAUGAGCCCACUGUGGACCUUCCUCUUCGUGCUGUCAGCUCCCAGCGGGGUCCUGUCCCAGGUGCAGUUGCAGGAGUCCGGACCCAGCCUGGUGAAGCCCUCACAGACCCUCUCCCUCACCUGCGCUGUCUCUGGAUUCUCACUAACCAGCUAUGCUGUACACUGGGUUCGCCAGGCUCCAGGGAAGGCACUGGAGUGGGUUGGUAUCAUAUAUAGUGGUGGAAGUACAUACUAUAACCCAGCCCUGAAAUCCCGGCUCAGCAUCACCAGGGACACCUCCAAGAGCCAAGUCUCUCUCUCACUGAGCAGCGUGACACCUGAGGACACGGCCGUGUAUUACUGCGCAAGAUACACAUUGGACGGGGUGACUGGACAAAGGUCACACUGCCAUUUGAGGUGCUAUGAGACAGUCCCAGGUGUCCUGUCCCAGGUGCAGCUGCAGGUUCCGGCCCAGGACUGGUGA